AACCAUUUGUGAAUCUCCUUCUCCCCUAAAUCUCCAGCCACCACUCCGGCAUCGAAAAUAAACUUCGGCACCACCUUUCACUUCACCGGCCUCCCUUGACCAAAACCCCUAUCAUCCCUACCGAAGAUCACCCACCAAUCGCCAGUCGCCGCUCAUCUAGGGUUUGCACUCUUCAAACCAAUUUUCGAUCGAUUUCGGCAUCACAAAUCUAUCCCGACGCCACCUUUCACCUCACCGGCCUCCCUUGACAAAAACCACUAUCAUCCCCACUGAAGAUCACCCUCUAAUGCAAUGUUUGAACUUGUUUUCUGGUGCUCCAUGUGACAUUGUUGGUGAUGUUAGCUAUGAAGAAUUGCGGGCAACAGCAUAUGAUGAUGCUAAGCGUGGGUUGGGCUUGCAGUCUAUAGUUGAGAGAGAAAGGAAUUUACUCAAUUCCAAGUUAAUUGAGUUUGACAAUCUUCUUUGCAAUCCCUACACAGGGCCCGUCAACCCUGGUCUUGCCAGCCAAAGACAAUUUCUUGUGGCCACUCAAAGCGAACACUCUUCGACCCCUCAAAACAAUGCCCCUCCUUCAGUUUCCAGUUUUAGUCAACUAGUAUCAUUGGUUAAUAUGGGGUUUGGAACGAGAACAGUUAAUGGCUGAUAGGAAGAUCUUUUUAUCUUUAACAAAAUUAAGCAUCUCACUUCCUGUCAUCUGAACAUAUGGAAUAUCAUUUCCAUGCUGGAACUUGCUAAGUGCAUUUCUAACCCAUCAUGUGCUGCUAAUGUUGCUUGCCUCUAGACCUGCAACAAUCAGCCUGAUGAGACUGAAUGCCAGAUUCAAUGUGGAGACCUGUUUGAAAAUAGUGUUGGAAUGGUCUGAAAAAGGGUCCCAGUAAGGUGGUUUGGCUUACGAGAGGAAUGGAUAGUGGGAAUAGUAGCUUGAUUGGCGUAUUUGUUUUGGAGUUUGUUUGAUGGGAGAUUGAUUAUAUUGGGAGUGUUUGUGUUGUUUGAUUAGUUGUAAUGUUUUCCAGCCUUCCCCAUGCAUCCAGCCAGUCAGUCACCAUAUCCACCUGAAUAUGUUCUAUGCUCACCACCUGCUCAACCAUUUGCCAAAACCAAAACCAAGGAAUAAGCAAGCAAGCAGUUGCGCCGCAAGUAGCUCCCAGUGCAUGUGCGUCUCCUCCCAACGCC